CGUAAACAAAGGUUUCCGUAGGUGAAACCUGCGGAAGGGAUCAUUAAUUAUGUUAAAGCGCCUUACCUCUUAGGGUUUCCUCUGGGGUAAGUGAUUGCUUCUACACUGUGAAAAUUUGGCUGAGAGACUCAGACUGGUCAUGGGUAGACCUAUCUGGGGUUUGAUCGAUGCCACUCCUGGUUUCAGGAGCACCCUUCAUAAUAAACCUAGAAAUUCAGUAUUAUAAAGUUUAAUAAAAAACAACUUUUAACAAUGGAUCUCUUGGUUCUCGCAUCGAUGAAGAACGUAGCAAAGUGCGAUAACUAGUGUGAAUUGCAUAUUCAGUGAAUCAUCGAGUCUUUGAACGCAGCUUGCACUCUAUGGUUUUUCUAUAGAGUACGCCUGCUUCAGUAUCAUCACAAACCCACACAUAACAUUUGUUUAUGUGGUAAUGGGUCGCAUCGCUGUUUUAUUACAGUGAGCACCUAAAAUGUGUGUGAUUUUCUGUCUGGCUUGCUAGGCAGGAAUAUUACGCUGGUCUCAGGAUCUUUUUCUUUGGUUCGCCCAGGAAGUAAAGUACAAGAGUAUAAUCCAGCAACUUCAAACUAUGAUCUGAAGUCAGUG
rnacentral:rRNA from 1 species